GGUGGUUGUAGCUCAGUUGGUUAGAGCGUCGGAUUGUGGUUCCGAAGGUCGCGGGUUCGAGCCCCGUCUCCCACCCCCA
rnacentral:tRNA from 1 species